rnacentral:rRNA from 1 species
CGGGGGGGCGGUACCAAGUUUUUAACUUCCCUAACCCCUUCUGUGAACCUACCUAUCGGUUGCUUCGGCGGACUCGCCCCAGCCCGGACGCGGACUGGACCAGCGGCCCGCCGGGGACCUCAAACUCUUGUAUUCCAGCAUCUUCUGAAUACGCCGCAAGGCAAAACAAAUGAAUCAAAACUUUCAACAACGGAUCUCUUGGCUCUGGCAUCGAUGAAGAACGCAGCGAAACGCGAUAAGUAAUGUGAAUUGCAGAAUCCAGUGAAUCAUCGAAUCUUUGAACGCACAUUGCGCCCGCCAGCAUUCUGGCGGGCAUGCCUGUUCGAGCGUCAUUUCAACCCUCGACCUCCCCUUGGGGGGGUCGGCGUUGGGGACCGGCAGCACACCGCCGGCCCUGAAAUGGAGUGGCGGCCCGUCCGCGGCGACCUCUGCGCAGUAAUACAGCUCGCACCGGAACCCCGACGCGGCCACGCCGUAAAACACCCAACUUCUGAACGUUGACCUCGAAUCAGGUAGGACUACCCGCUGAACUUAAGCAUAUCAAUAAGCGGAGGAA